rnacentral:rRNA from 1 species
UACGUAGGGACCAAGCGUUGUUCGGAUUUACUGGGCGUAAAGGGCGCGUAGGCGGCGUGUUAAGUCAGCUGUGAAAUCUCCGAGCUUAACUCGGAACGGUCAGCUGAUACUGAUGUGCUAGAGUGCAGAAGGGGCAAUCGGAAUUCUUGGUGUAGCGGUGAAAUGCGUAGAUAUCAAGAGGAACACCUGAGGUGAAGACGGGUUGCUGGGCCGACACUGACGCUGAUAGCGCGAAAGCCAGGGGAGCAAACGGG